rnacentral:misc_RNA from 1 species
AACGCACAUUGCGCCCCCUGGUAUUCCGGGGGGCAUGCCUGUCCGAGCGUCAUUGCUGCCCUCAAGCCCGGCUUGUGUGUUGGGUCUCGUCCCCCUCUCCGGGGGACGGGCCCGAAAGGCAGCGGCGGCACCGUGUCCGGUCCUCGAGCGUAUGGGGCUUUGUCACCCGCUCUGUAGGCCCGGCCGGCGCCUUAGCCGACGACACAAUCUUUUUUUUCAGGUUGACCUCGGAUCAGGUAGGGAUACCCGCUGAACUUAA